rnacentral:rRNA from 1 species
ACACUGAGGCGUGAUGACGAGGCACUACGGUGCUGAAGCAACAAAUGCCCUGCUUCCAGGAAAAGCCUCUAAGCAUCAGGUAACAUCAAAUCGUACCCCAAACCGACACAGGUGGUCAGGUAGAGAAUACCAAGGCGCUUGAGAGAACUCGGGUGAAGGAACUAGGCAAAAUGGUGCCGUAACUUCGGGAGAAGGCACGCUGACACGUAGGUGAAGUGAUUUACUCAUGGAGCUGAAGUCAGUCGAAGAUACCAGCUGGCUGCAACUGUUUAUUAAAAACACAGCACUGUGCAAACACGAAAGUGGACGUAUACGGUGUGACGCCUGCCCGGUGCCGGAAGGUUAAUUGAUGGGGUCAGCGCAAGCGAAGCUCCUGAUCGAAGCCCCGGUAAACGGCGGCCGUAACUAUAACGGUCCUAAGGUAGCGAAAUUCCUUGUCGGGUAAGUUCCGACCUGCACGAAUGGCGUAAUGAUGGCCAGGCUGUCUCCACCCGAGACUCAGUGAAAUUGAACUCGCUGUGAAGAUGCAGUGUACCCGCGGCAAGACGGAAAGACCCCGUGAACCUUUACUAUAGCUUGACACUGAACAUUGAGCCUUGAUGUGUAGGAUAGGUGGGAGGCUUUGAAGYGUGGACGCCAGUCUGCRUGGAGCCGACCUUGAAAUACCACCCUUUAAUGUUUGAUGUUCUAACGUGGACCCGURAUCCGGGUUGCGGACAGUGUCUGGUGGGUAGUUUGACUGGGGCGGUCUCCUCCUAAAGAGUAACGGAGGAGCACGAAGGUUGGCUAAUCCUGGUCGGACAUCAGGAGGUUAGUGCAAUGGCAUAAGCCAGCUUGACUGCGAGCGUGACGGCGCGAGCAGGUGCGAAAGCAGGUCAUAGUGAUCCGGUGGUUCUGAAUGGAAGGGCCAUCGCUCAACGGAUAAAAGGUACUCCGGGGAUAACAGGCUGAUACCGCCCAAGAGUUCAUAUCGACGGCGGUGUUUGGCACCUCGAUGUCGGCUCAUCACAUCCUGGGGCUGAAGUAGGUCCCAAGGGUAUGGCUGUUCGCCAUUUAAAGUGGUACGCGAGCUGGGUUUAGAACGUCGUGAGACAGUUCGGUCCCUAUCUGCCGUGGGCGCUGGAGAACUGAGGGGGGCUGCUCCUAGUACGAGAGGACCGGAGUGGACGCAUCACUGGUGUUCGGGUUGUCAUGCCAAUGGCACUGCCCGGUAGCUAAAUGCGGAAGAGAUAAGUGCUGAAAGCAUCUAAGCACGAAACUUGCCCCGAGAUGAGUUCUCCCUGAGACUUAGAGUCUCCUGAAGGAACGUUGAAGACGACGACGUUGAUAGGCCGGGUGUGUAAGCGCAGCGAUGCGUUGAGCUAACCGGUACUAAUGAACCGUGAGGCUUAACCUUACAACGCCGAAG